GAGGUGUUACUAUAAUACUGUCUGAUGUUAGAGGUGUUACUAUCCUACUGUCUGAUGUUAGAGGUGUUACUAUCAUACUGUCUGAUGUUAGAGGUGUUACUAUAAUACUGUCUGAUGGUAGAGGUGUUACUAUCAUACUGUCUGAUGUUAGAGGUGUUACUAUAAUACUGUCUGAUGGUAGAGGUGUUACUAUAAUACUGUCUGAUGGUAGAGGUGUUACUAUCCUACUGUCUGAUGUUAGAGGUGUUACUAUCCUACUGUCUGAUGUUAGAGGUGUUACUAUCCUACUGUCUGAUGGUAGAGAUGUGUAAAUAUCCUACUGUCUGAUGUUAGAGGUGUUACUAUCCUACUGUCUGAUGUUAGAGGUGUUACUAUCCUACUGUCUGAUGUUAGAGGUGUUACUAUCAUACUGUCUGAUGUUAGAGGUGUUACUAUCAUACUGUCUGAUGUUAGAGGUGUUACUAUCCUACUGUCUGAUGUUAGAGGUGUUACUAUCCUACUGUCUGAUGGUAGAGGUGUAACUAUCCUACUGUCUGAUGGUAGAGGUGUUACUAUCCUACUGUCUGAUGGUAGAGGUGUUACUAUCAUACUGUCUGAUGGUAGAGGUGUUACUAUCCUACUGUCUGAUGUUAGAGGUGUUACUAUCCUACUGUCUGAUGGUAGAGGUGUUACUAUAAUACUGUCUGAUGUUAGAGGUGUAACUAUCCUACUGUCUGAUGUUAGAGGUGUUACUAUCCUACUGUCUGAUGUUAGAGGUGUUACUAUCCUACUGUCUGAUGGUAGAGGUGUAACUAUCCUACUGUCUGAUGGUAGAGGUGUUACUAUCCUACUGUCUGAUGGUAGAGGUGUUACUAUCAUACUGUCUGAUGGUAGAGGUGUUACUAUCCUACUGUCUGAUGUUAGAGGUGUUACUAUCCUACUGUCUGAUGGUAGAGGUGUUACUAUAAU